rnacentral:rRNA from 1 species
UACGUAGGGAGCAAGCGUUGUCCGGAAUCAUUGGGCGUAAAGCGCGCGUAGGUGGCUCUAUAAGUCCGUUGUGAAAGUCAAAGGCUCAACCUUUGAAAGCCGAUGGAUACUGUGGAGCUAGAGUACGGAAGAGGCGAGUGGAAUUCCUGGUGUAGCGGUGGAAUGCGCAGAUAUCAGGAGGAACACCAAUAGCGAAGGCAGCUCGCUGGGACGUUACUGACACUGAGGCGCGAAAGCUAGGGGAGCAAACAGG